rnacentral:lncRNA from 1 species
AAUUUCGGUAAGAAGAAAUACAGUGAGACGAAUGCAAUAAGCAGUGGGAGGCAGAGGAGGCCUCAGAUCAGAAGGAAUCCACCAUCCUGUCAACAUCAUCAUCAUCAAGUAUCUUCCGUUAUCCCAAUAUUUUCUAAUUAACAAACAACACCAGUUCAACAACAACAACAACAACAACCGCAACAACGAACAAACACCUACAACAAC